ensembl:lncRNA
GUCAUGUUAGAGUAACUGUAGAGUAAGAAACAGCAGUAUCGAACUGGAUCCCAGGGACAUCUGCAGAGAGAGACAAACAACCAUUCCAUUUGAAUUUGAAGCCUGAAGAACCCAACAUCUGUACUUGUACAAAUAUGUUGUGGACGGUAAUUCUGUGUAUCAGUUUCUAAAACUUUUUUGUAAACUCAAAGCUUUCAGCAAGAAAUAACCAUGGCAACACCUGCUGAUCUGUUGGAAAUACUGGAAGACCUGGCAGAUGAAGAGUUGAAAAAGUUCAAAUGGUAUCUGCAGUAGGCUGAGGACUUGAAAGAUUUCCCAUCAAUCUCAAGGAGCAAACUGGACAACACAAACAGGAUGACCACAGUGUCUGAGCUCAAAGAGACUAACAACACAGAUGCAGUGGCAGUGACCAUUAAAGUCCUAAAGAUGAUCAAAAGGAAUGACCUGGCACAGCAUUUAUCAAAUAUGAACCCAGCGUCAAAAGGUCAGUAAUGAGGAAGUAAUUAUAUGCAUUAAAGGACUGAAUGUGCAACUGUUAAUUUCACUGGUAGCAGCAAAGAUUCCUCAUUUGCAUCAACUGUGAAGUAAUUACUAAGUCAUCUGUUGCUUUCCUAAUGUUCUAUGCAACUAGCAAUCCCUCUUCCACGUAGCACAGUGUUUGAUCCUGAACGUAUCCCACAGCUCUUGCCAAGAGAUGUUCCUCUUUUCCACUGCUUCCCAUGUCAUCCACUGCCCUUACAUCACCUGCACGAUGACUUUUGCGCACCUGUCUGCUUCCUCUGCCGUCGUACUUCCACUUCCAGGAACUAUAAAGCGCUCUUUAAAUUGCAGUUUUAUUCAAAUGACACAGAUGAAAAGAGGAAGACGAGAACUGGCUGUGGAAUGAUGGAUGCAGUAGUCGGGCGUUUAAAUGUCCAAAACUCCACAGUUUGAGGUUCGAGCUUGUUUUACUCAACAUCUGACGACAUGAUCCAUAUCAGCACCCCACAAGCAGCACCAACAUCUUCAUAAACCCUGUACAUCACAGAUGUAUGGCUCUAUGUGAUGCUUGGUGGAUUGUUUUUCAUUUUACAAAAAGAAAAGAGAAAUAUGUGCAGUAUGUGAAUAUCUACGUGGAAGAAUCAGCGCUUACAGAAUCUGACCGAAUGUAGGACAUCUGAGUGGUUUUUGGAAUUUCUUGUUUUGGCAUUUAG